rnacentral:rRNA from 1 species
UACGUAGGGUGCAAGCGUUAAUCGGAAUUACUGGGCGUAAAGCGCGCGUAGGCGGCCAGAUAAGUCCGGUGUGAAAGUCACAGGCUCAACCUGUGAAUGCCGCUGGAAACUGUCUGGCUAGAGUCCGGAAGGGGCGAGUGGAAUUCCUGGUGUAGCGGUGAAAUGCGCAGAUAUCAGGAGGAACACCGGUGGCGAAGGCGGGUCUCUGGGCCGAUACUGACGCUGGAGGAGCG